UUUUUAAUUGGAAUCUUGUAUGAAUGAUUGGACAAGAGAAAUACUGUCUUUGUAUUAAAACUUGAAUUUAACUUUUAAGUGAAAAGGCUUAAAUACACUAAAGGGACGAUAAGACCCUAUAAAACUUUACAUUUAUGUUAAAUUUUAUGGAAUUUGAAGAUUAUAAUUAUUAAAUUUAAUUUUUUGUUAUGUUGGGGAGACAAAAGCUAUAAUUAUAUAUAACUGCUUUUAAGGGAAACAAAAAUAAGUGAGGAAGGUUAGAGAUCCUUUAUUGAGAUUAUAAGAUUAAGUUACUUUAGGGAUAACAGCGUUAUUUUUUUUGAGAGUUCAUAUUGAAAAAAAAGAUUGCGACCUCGAUGUUGAAUUAAAAUAUCUUUAUAAUGCAGGUGUUAUAAAAGAAGGUCUGUUCGACCUUUAAUUUUUUA
rnacentral:rRNA from 1 species